AUUGAACGCUGGCGGCAGGCCUAACACAUGCAAGUCGAGAGAGCGGCGGACGGGUGAGUAAUGUCUGGGAAACUGCCUGAUGGAGGGGGAUAACUACUGGAAACGGUAGCUAAUACCGCAUACCAUCGGAUGUGCCUAGAUGGGAUUAGCUGGUGGGUGGGGUAAAGGCUCACCUAGGCGACGAUCCCUAGCUGGUCUGAGAGGAUGACCAGCCACACUGGAACUUAGAUACAGUCCAGACUCCUACGGGAGGCAUCAGUGGGGAAUAUUGCACAAUGGGCGCAAGCCUGAUGCAGCCAUGCCGCGUGUUUGAAGAAGUCCUUCGGGUUGUAAAGUACUUGCAGCGGGGAGGCGUUACCCGCAGAAGAAGCACCGGCUAACUCCGUGCCAGCAGCCGCGGUGAUUC
rnacentral:rRNA from 1 species